CAUCAGCUAGUUGGUAGGGUAACGGCCUACCAAGGCAGAGACGGGUAGGGGGCGUGAGAGCGCGGACCCCCACACUGGCACUGCGACACGGGCCAGACUCCUACGGGAGGCAGCAGUAAGGAAUAUUGCGCAAUGGACGAAAGUCAGACGCAGCGACGCCGCGUGGGCGAUGAAGGCCUUCGGGUUGUAAAGCCCUUUUAUGGGGGAAGAGAAAAAGGACGGUACCCCAUGAAUAAGUCCCGGCUAACUACGUGCCAGCAGCCGCGGUAAAACGUAGGGGACAAGCGUUAUCCGGAUUCACUGGGCGUAAAGAGCGUUGAGGCGGUUCCGUAAGUUGGGCGUGAAAGCUCCGGGCUUAACCCGGAGAUGUCGUUCAAUACUGCGGGGCUUGAGGACAGCAGAGGAAGGUGGAAUUCCCGGUGUAGUGGUGAAAUGCGUAGAUAUCGGGAGGAACACCCGUGGCGAAGGCGGCCUUCUGGGCUGUUCCUGACGCUGAAGGCGAAAGCUAGGGGAGCGAACGGGAUUAGAUACCCCGGUAGUCCUAGCUGUAAACGAUGGAUGCUGGGUGUGGGGGGUGUAAAUUCCCUCUGUGCCGAAGCAAACGCGUUAAGCAUCCCGCCUGGGGACUACGGCCGCAAGGCUAAAACUCAAACGAAUUGACGGGGGCCCGCACAAGCAGCGGAGCGUGUGGUUUAAUUCGAUGCUACACGAAGAACCUUACCUGGGUUUGACAUGCACGUGGUAGGGAACCGAAAGGGGACCGACCUUCGGGAGCGUGCACAGGUGCUGCAUGGCUGUCGUCAGCUCGUGCCGUGAGGUGUCGGGUUAAGUCCCGUAACGAGCGCAACCCUUGCCCUUAGUUACAAGUGUCUAAGGGGACUGCCCGGGACAACUGGGAGGAAGGUGGGGAUGACGUCAAGUCAGCAUGGCCUUUAUAUCCAGGGCUACACACACGCUACAAUGGCCAGUACAAUAGGUAGCCAAGUCGUGAGACGGAGCCAAUCCUUAAAGCUGGUCUCAGUUCGAAUUGCAGUCUGCAACUCGACUGCAUGAAGCUGGAGUUGCUAGUAAUCGCAGGUCAGCCAUACUGCGGUG
rnacentral:rRNA from 1 species